rnacentral:lncRNA from 1 species
CCUAGCCACAGUAGCUCCCUCAUGCAGACUCCACAAGCCAAGAGGCCAUGGAGGCAAAUGCAGGCAGCCAGCACACCUCGAACAGCCACCUUGAAUGCGGGUGUGUCACCCUAGUCGCCAAGGGAGCAUUUGAGGGAAAGCGACAGGCAAUGUGAACAGCCACUUCUCUAUGUAAACGAUACUCUUUCUCUCGGAUGACUCCUAUGCCUCGCCACGCCAGCUCAUCUGUGCAGACUCCACCAACAAAGAUGCCGCGGAGGCACGUGCAGGUCAGAGACAAGAAGCAGUGGCACUGGUGUCGACAUUCACCUAAUUACUUGCUUUUUCUUAAACUGAGGCAGCCAGCACACCUUGAACAGUCACCAUGACUGCGGGUGUGUCAGCAGAUUCCUGUUGUACAUAUGCUCAUAAUAAAGUUCAGUAAACUUGAACUUGAUAAUAAACUUGAAGGCAAAUGGGA